UACGUAGGGUGCGAGCGUUAAUCGGAAUUACUGGGCGUAAAGCGUGCGCAGGCGGCUUCGCAAGUCAGACGUGAAAUCCCCGGGCCUAACCUGGGAAUGGCGUUUGAAACUACGGAGCUGGAGUGUGGCAGAGGGAGGUAGAAUUCCACGUGUAGCGGUGAAAUGCGUAGAUAUGUGGAGGAAUACCGAUGGCGAAGGCAGCCUCCUGGGCCAACACUGACGCUCAUGCACGAAAGCGUGGGGAGCAAACAGG
rnacentral:rRNA from 1 species